UACAGAGGGUGCAAGCGUUAAUCGGAAUUACUGGGCGUAAAGGGUGUGUAGGUGGCAAGGUAAGUUAGGUGUGAAAUCCUCGGGCUUAACCUGAGAAUUGCGCUUAAUACUGCUUAGCUAGAGUACUGUAGAGGAUAGUGGAAUUUCCGGUGUAGCGGUGAAAUGCGUAGAUAUCGGAAGGAACACCAGUGGCGAAGGCGACUAUCUGGACAGGUACUGACACUGAGACACGAAAGCGUGGGUAGCAAACAGG
rnacentral:rRNA from 1 species